GUUAUCAUAUUUUUAAAUAGGUAGAGAUAAACGAAAACACGUAUAUAUAAUAUAAGUAUAACAAGCUCAACUUAGCACAAUUCGCAUCAUUUUAUCACUUAUUGUGUAACAUCACUUGUCCUAGGGAUUUAAUCUCAAAAUCACAUUCCACAAUCACAUUAAUCAGUGUUCAGAAAAACACAUCUCAAGUACAAUACAACAUCUUACACUUACACAAUUCAUUAUCCACCAUCGUAAGUCACAAUGAUCAUUACACAGGUGUUAUGCAACAAAUACAAUAAGACUCAAUCCUAUAUGCAAUAUGGUAUCAUGUCAGUGAAAAACCUCGUCAGACGCCUAGGAGUACAUGACAAGACCGACUACACACUGGUAAGUCAGGUCACUCUCACUAGGUAAAAUCAUAGAGAGACCAGUCAUGAUCACACUGUUUUGCAAGAAUGCUUUGAUCAAGUGGGAUCGACACAGACUUAAAGGAGCACUCAAACCAGGUGUAUUUACUCCUAAAGCCUAGACUCCAAAGAGUCCGUUAGGGACUCUUUCUCCUGAUUCAGGUUCAACCCUGAAAAUAUUUUAACAUACAAACUCUAUCUUUGAACUAUAUGACACCUCAAUUGUUCUCAAAAUAAUUUUAACUUGUCACACCUCAAAAUGAUUCAACUCGUCGGUUUCUCACAGUCUCAUCACAAUACUCGACGCGCAUUAACUCGUCGUCCUUAAAGGGUCUUAUAGUCAUGUGAUUGUACAGUUUAUAGCUCACAACUCAAUGUCAUCACUUUACACUUCACAAUAACAUGUAUAAUCACAUUAAGGAACGUAUUAAUCUCACACUUGUUCACAACACAUGUCUCAUCGUACACAUUAUCAUAUCAUAAGGAACAAAACCCCUUAAUCAAUUUCAAGAAAACAUACAAGAAUCAAGAAUUCCCAAAUUUUUAGAUUUCUAACAUUUAAAAGUCAAACACUCAAUUAAACCAUCCAAUUUGCAUCAGGGCAUCAAUUAACCCGCCAAACAUGAGAAAUUUUUAGUUAUCAUUGUACAGACAAAAUCAAAAUGCAUAAAACACCCUAAAAUUAACCCUAAUUUGAUCAUCUAAGGAUCCCUACACAUGUUCAUUCUAACUUCAAUUGCGAUCAAUUCAUCUCUUACCUCUAAGAGAGCUCAUGUGUGUAGUCCGGUAGUGAUAGCAGCAUCUUUAGUGGUUCCUUAAGAUUCCUCAAGCGUUUCCUUUGUUUUGUUAGAAUUUCAAGCGUUAGAGAGAAGGAGAAGGGAUUGGAGCCUCAAUUUCACUGUCUUCGUGUGUGGGACAUUUCUCUCUCUACAGACAUUAUUUCACAAAUCUCAACAGCGAGAAUGUGCGAAAAUGAGUUCCGAGGGUGACGUUCAAAUUUUAGGACUAUUCAACGGUUAACAAGUCCGAGAUUGUAGUUUUACUAGGACAGACUUGAGUAUAUGAAAAAAGAGAGGAUUUUUGUGAGGAAAAGAAGGGAGAAUGAAUUUGAAAGAAAAAAAAAAAAGAGCAUAGACACGUACCCUUGAAGUAUGUCUCUGAUUAUAUUUAGGGUGAGCCUAUUGCUAUUCUAUUUUCCUUUAUUUUAUUAUUUUAUAAAAAGAACUCUAUUUUACUUUUUUACUAAAUAAAUAACCAAUUAAAACGUCACUAUAUUUUUAUAAAACAUGAUUUUAUUCUAUUUAUUUUCUAAUACCGUGAAAUUCUUGAUUUAAUUAACAAAAAAUCAUUUCUCUCAUUUAUUUAAUUUCUAAAAACUCUAUUAAUGUCUAGUCUACAUGAAAUUUCAAUCCAAUAUCUCACCCCAAAACAUGCACUUAAUUCAAUUAAUUAUAAAAACUCAAAAUACAUACUUAAUAUAUAUAUAUAUAUAUAUAUAUACACACACACCGAAAACCGGGGUGUUACAUUAUACACCAGUAGCAAUUUUUCUUAUGAAAUUAAGCACUUGUUAUAAUUUAUUGUCUAGGUAUAUGGUGCCAUCUAGCCCCAUAUCUUCAACUUUGAAUGAUUUCAUUUCAUAAUAUUAAAUCCCAUAUAUCCCGUGUAUGAAAUAAUAAAAUUGUUAUGAUGUUUUCUGUCGCAAGUCACUACCCUUAACAGUGUGCAUGCAUUUCAUCAUCUGAGGUCCAGAUUAUAAAGGCUUAUAGUUGACUUCUGAUAUUUGAAACUAAACGGAAUUCUGUUAACCCAAUACUGAAUGCAUGAAACCUCAAUGAUAUGAUACUUUAAAAUAUCUAAAACCGAUAUUGUCCCUCGUUUUUAAAAUGUUCUGAGCUAAUUAUGACUAAUGAUGGGCAAUUUGAAAAAUAAACUUAAAGCUGCUGAAAGUUUUCAUCAUUUAGAUUUUUUUUGGUGAAAAUUUCAUCAUUUAGAUUGAUUGGUAGUUUUUAUUUAAUACCUAUCAAAAGUGAAGUUAAGUGAAAAAUGCUGAAAACAUUCAGCACAUGAAGGUUAUUCAAUGCAUUCAACAGAAAACAGUUUUGCACGAUCUAGAUUGUCUAAAAUCAGUACUUAAACAAACAAACAGUUCUUUAAAUGUACAAAUUCAGUGUGUAUUUCUUGUUACCGAAAAAUUCCGUACUAAGUUUUCAAUUUUAUCAAACACACAUUAAGACAGAGCAUAAUAAUCUUUUCAAAAUUGUAUUUUUUUUUUCCUAAGCUCUGAGUCAAUUAUAUUUUUCCCCUUGUACAUGUAAUAUUUUAAAAUGAUCAUAGAAAUUCAAGGAAUUUAAUUGAGACUAAAACUUAAUAUAAAAUUAUUUUUCAUGAUUUUAAAAGUUUUCAGAAGAUGAAUACAGAUUCCCUCACUGGCUUGAGAUAUUAGUUGUUAAACCAGAGAUUUGAGAAUGAUUUGAUGUAAGGCGUUGUCUGUUUUUCUCAUUCCCCUCUCAUACUAUUUUUUUUCAUUAUGUUUAGACAGCAGGACCAUUUUAUGACUUCAUAGGGGCAGGACUAACUAGUGUGAAGAUCAAGGGACUGAAAAAUGGGACAAUAGACUUGUCUUCUUAUGCCUGGACUUACAAGGUACUUUUUCUCCUGCAUUACCAUCCUAAAAUGGAUACCCCCACUAUCUUUGAAAUGCUGCUCAAUAUUUUAUAGACCCUUGAUGGUGGUAUUAAGCAUGGAAAUUUAAAUUAUCAUGCUUUCUCAGAUUGGAGUGCAAGGAGAAUAUCUAAGGUUAUACCAGGGAAAUGGGUUGAAUAAAGUGAACUGGACAUCUACUUCAGAACCACAAAAAAUGCAGCCAUUGACAUGGUACAAGGUAAUGAAUGACCUUUCUUGUUUUCUCCAUCAUUUAUGGAAAUUAUCCAUACAUCUUCUAUUUUUUUUUAAGGAAAUACAUAUUUCAUUUAGUUUGUGUUUUAUGGUGAAGUAUCUUAUAAAAUUCUUGGCCUUGCAGGCAAUUGUGGAUGCUCCGCCUGGGGAUGAACCAGUUGGAUUGGAUAUGUUACAUAUGGGAAAGGGUCUAGCCUGGUUAAAUGGAGAAGAAAUAGGAAGAUAUUGGCCUAGGAAAAGUGAAUUCAAGAGUGAAGACUGUGUGAAAGAAUGCGAUUACAGAGGCAAAUUUAAUCCUGACAAAUGUGACACUGGUUGUGGAGAACCUACACAGAGAUGGUAAAACUAAGGACAAUAAUGAUUUCCAUGGAAUUGAUGAAUUGAAAUGCAGUCUUUUCCUUUUUUACAUAUGCAGAAAAAAUUUACCUUCGAUAUGUCAACUAGUAUAAAAGUGGUUGAUAGAGUUUUGUGCCUAAUGCCAACCCUCAACCAGCAGAAAUAUGUGAAGUAAAAUACUAAAAUAAGAUUGUGUACAAAUCCAUGCAGUUGAUGGUGCAGGAUUGAUCCCUGGCAGAUUCUUUAUUUUACAAAAUAAUUGGCGAGGAUUGGUCAUAUUAUCAGAAAGGGUAUAUUUGAUGGCCUAGUAGGUUCUGUAUGUUUUGCUUCAUAUGAGGCUGUCCUCAGUUUCUAUAAUGAAUUAGAACACAGUACAUUUUUACAAUUAUGAGAGAUUUACUUUAUUCUGUAGUUCCUUAUACAUCAUUUGCAAAUCUGACAAGUUGACUAGAGUAGAAACUAGAAAGCAUUCAUGAUUCAUCAUAAUUGUAAAGAACUAAGUUUAUUUGAUAGGUCUUAGAGUUGUGUAUUGUUCUUGUUGUCAAUUAAACAUUCUGCGUUUCCUAUGUAUCAGGUACCAUGUUCCACGAUCUUGGUUCAAGCCAUCUGGAAAUAUUCUUGUUCUUUUUGAGGAGAAAGGUGGAGAUCCAGAAAAGAUUAAGUUUGUGAGACGGAAAGUAUCUGGAGCUUGUGCCCUUGUUGCUGAGGAUUACCCCUCUGUUGGACUCCUUUCCCAGGGUGAAGAUAAAAUACAGAAUAACAAAAACGUUCCUUUUGCCCAUUUGACAUGCCCCAGCAACACUCGUAUAUCUGCUGUGAAGUUUGCUAGCUUUGGAACCCCCUCUGGGUCAUGUGGAUCUUACCUCAAGGGAGAUUGCCAUGAUCCCAAUUCUAGCACAAUUGUUGAGAAGGUAUGUCUUUUUGCAACUUUUUUGUAUUGCAUAUGGGUUAUUCUCUCCUAAGAAUCUAUUAAUAUUUUCAUUUUGAAAAUUAAUCACACAAUUAAGGGAUGUCUUGAUGCUUAUGGGUUUGCAUUAACUGUUCAAGCAAUCCUAUUAGCUUUGCUGUGUGUGCAUUAUAAACAAUUCCUAAAGGAACUUAUCACAAUUAAUAUAACACUAACUCUUAGCUGGUAAUUGUCUUUCAUUCCUCCUCAUCUGCUAUGUUUUCAUUGGGAAGAGGUUGAACCAUGAACCUCAUUCAUAUCAAAGUGUCAUCAUGAAUCCCAGCAUUUCAAAUACUUGUUACACAUCAUAUUAAUAAGUUAACUUUUAUCGACAUGAUCAUCCCUUGUUUGUUUCUUUGAUAUUUAAAGAGAAAAUUUAGCAUAUUCAGGUCACCCUCAUGCAUCCGUCUAAUUGUUUGUUCAUGCCUAAUUGUUUCUUCUUGUUUCGAAGGAUUAUAAUACUGAUGGAUCUUUAUAAACUCCGUUGUUGUUGCAGGCAUGCCUAAACAAAAACGACUGUGUCAUAAAAUUAACUGAAGAGAAUUUCAAAACCAACUUGUGUCCUGGUUUAUCAAGGAAACUUGCAGUGGAAGCAGUCUGUAGUUGAUUAAUAAACUAACAUACUCCGGUGCCAGAGACUCGUCACUUUGUGACUGUAGUUGAUUAAUUUUACUGUCGAUUCAGGAGGAACGUUGCAUCUCACCAUUUAUUUUACCAGCUUGGCUACAUCAAAAAAGCAUAUGAAAAUUUUGCAUGUAUUAAUUAAUAUGAAUAUUGUCAGCAAGGUCUCUAAUGUAUAAUUUAUGGCAGAGAAUUCUGCUGCAAAUGCGUUAUCUAUUAAUCAAUUUGGCUUUCACAUGGGGGUGUUAGCCAUUGAGUAUCAAUGCAUUUUAUUCACACUAGGCUCUGCAACAGAACUUUUGUGGUAACAUUUUGAUCAUGUGAGAAGUUAACGUUCAUUUUAGAUUUUGUCUACACGUUUUGUGCGAAAGUCUAAAUAAGCUGGUGAAACACGAAUACAAGUGAUAUUUUCCAUACAGAAUUCACAACAGUUGAAAAUAGCCUGGCCGUUUGCAUUUGAUUGGAUUUAAUAAAAUGGGUGGUGAGUUAAAAUAAGCAUCAACUAAAAUCCGUUACGUUCUGUAUGAACCUCAAACUACGACAACACCUUAACUUAAAAAGUUGAUUAUAAAAUUCUUAUUAUCUAUUUUCUUGUAAUUUAUUUAUGUAUUUUAUAAUACAUAAAUAGUUAUGGUCACUACUAACAAGUCUGUUAGUCUACUAUUAUAUUGCCUUCCCAAAUGUUUGGAGAUGAAUAUAUUUAAUCCGUUGACUUUUUGAUACCAUCUAUCGGUCUGAAUUAUAUUAUCCAACUAUUCAGAUAAGAUUUGCAAUAGGACAUAAAAAAAAUAUAUAGAUCAUAUAUUUUUAAUGUAAACAGGAGUACGCAAACUAGUAGGGUUCAAAUUAUGAAUUAAAAUGAGUUUGAUAACUAAAUCUAACUUAAAAUAACCGUGGCUAGCGAUGUGUGUUUGUAUUCAUAUAGUUGUGUUUUCAAAUUGAAAUUUAAGUUAUACGGAGUGAAUUCUUUGAGAAAGAGUGAAUCAUCCAACAGUGCCAUUAUCCUAUUCAUGACAGCCACUAAUUCGUUUACUAUUCCGUCGCAGCCCUACGCCGCUAUAGCAUGCUACUCAAAACCCUGUACGUAAGAUGGCUAUAAACAUAAUAAAAGGAGAAAUCUAAUAAAUGAGGGGAAGGUUGUAAUAUUGAUGCUAUACUUCCUCAAUCAUAAAACAUCAGCUUCCAGGCAGGAAUCGGGAUAAUAGAGGCAAACUGAAGGCAAUAUAAUAUGUUAAACUGCUCAACUAAGAAUUCAUCUAGUGUAUUAAAAAUUCACAGAUUCAUGCAUGAUAAUAUUUCUCUCACAACAUAUUCAAGAUUUCAACAAGAGAAACAGUAAUUAAACUGGAAAAGGAAAGAUAUUUUUUUCUCUCCUGUUGGAUAGGAACAGUGUUUACAACUGUGCCAGCGUUGUUCAUCAUUUCCCCCUGGAAUUUCGAAAAGAAAACUUGUAAGAGAAUUAUUUCACUUAUUCUUUUCAAAAAAGAAAAAGAAAAUCAUGAGAAAGAUAAAAGUACAAUUAUGAUUUCAUUUAAGUCUUCAUCAUGAGAAAUGUAAAAGUACUUUCACUUACGUGUUCAUCAUCAAGGUUAUGUUGUCUCCUUUAAGAAGGAUCCUCCCUAAUCAAAAAAUAAAUCCUUCAGAAAAUGCACAAGUUGCAAAAGGCAAAUAGAACAAUAUUUGAGAAACUGUAGCAUACCUAAUGUCUUUCUGCUUUUCUUCUUGACGUUCACUUCUUCAGCAUCAUCAAGAACCAAAUUCAUGUAUUCAUCAAAACCCUGUUUGGAAAACAAUAAAAUCACAUUAUCCUUAACUAUCAGCUCAAAUGAUCAAUAUUUUUAACAAGGGUACGCUGUCUACAACAAUUACCACCAUUCAUUCACAUUCCCCUACCCAAGAACAAAAAAGUUCACAAAAAAUCCAAGAGUCAACAAAUUUUAGAUCACACUGUUUUAGAUAUCAGCUUAUAUCACAGAGUGCAUGAGGAAAAUCCACGCUUUUUGGACAUAUGGAAUAAAUUCCGUAGGUUAAUUUUAAGUGUAUGACUAUAAAAUUUUGUAAGAUUUUAAAAAAACAAAACACCACCAUUAAACUAAAUUCCCUCACAAUCCAAUCAACUGAUGAUCACGGCGCUCAUAUAAAGUCACAGACGAAUUAUAAAUAAAAAAAAUCACAUGUUAAAGUCGACAAAACACAAUUUUGAUGAUGAGCACCGAUGUAACAAAGAAGCAUACAAAACAAGACUCACAAUGAUUCGGCCUUCAAUCCUCAAAUCCUUUUGCUCAAAGAGCCAAAUCUGGAUGCGCGCUUUCUGCAUAAAUUACAAUUAGAGAAAGAAAACAAAGUCAAAAAAAAAUUAGGGGAAAUGCAGAAGGAAUUAUCAACGAGAAUGAGAGUAGGUGAAGACUUACGCUCUGAAGAAACCUGAAAAUCAAGUUCUGAAAAAAUCAAGAAAAGGAAUGAGGGUAGGUUAGGGUUAGAAUUAACAAAAUCGAGAGUGAAAGAGUGUGUGAGAAUCAUACAAUAGGUUGGGUCAUAACCCUCUGAACUUUGGUACUCGCCAUGGCUGCUAAAAUCUAUGAGAUUGCAAGAGAUGGGCGGGAAGACACUAAAGCUAGGGUUUUGCCCUCUUACUCUGUUGCAGACAACUAACAAUAAGUGGGCAUUAGCUAGGACUUUUAUAGUUUGGGUUUUAUUAAAAAAAAUUAGAAAAAAUAAACAAAAUAAAAAAUAGUACAAAUUUAUAAUUUAUAAAUUUAUAAUAAAAAAUUAAAUAUAUUAUAGUAGUUGUUUAGUUUUAAUUAUCUUAAAAAAUGUUUAUUGUAUAUAUUUUAACCUUAAAUAAAAAAAUUGCAUCACUUUUAUUAAAUAUAAUAAUUAAAAACAAAUUCAAUUUUUAUAAUAACUAAAAGAGUAUAAUUUCAUAAAAUAAAAAUAAUAUUUAAAAUUAUAUUGUAUUUUAUAUAUGAAAAUGAAAGAAAUUUUGUCCUCUUAGAUUAUAUAUUUAUAUCACUUAAAAAUACCUCAAUUAUUCAAUAACUUUAAUUAAACGAAACAUAUUUUAAAAAUAAUAUCAUUGAAUAUGAGAAAAUGCUAAGAACAUUUUCAAUGGAUGCAAUUCAAACAAUUCAUUUUGAGCUCUUAAGAGCAUGUUGAUUGACUCAUAUAAUGUUACACCAUAUUUAAACAAUUCAAGGGGAUCAAGAUAUAAGAUUGAUUUAAUGUUGAGAAAAAGUGGUAAAAAGAGAAGGAAGGAAAAAAAGUUGUAGGUUCAAAUUUUCCAAUGAACAUUUCUAACAAAACCAAUCAUUGUCAAUAACAAAAAAAUAAUUCAUGAAAGUUAUAAAGUUGGUUUGAUGAUUGAAGGGAGAAGAAAAAGAAAGAUGUUGUGGGUUUGAAUCUUUCUUAUUAACAAAUUAACAACUAAUAUUGGCCUUUCAAAAAAAUGUUAAGCAAUUCAUACACAUUUCAAGCAACUCUUAAAUAAUCAUGCUUAAAUAGUAUUUAAAUGGUAAGAAAAUAUUUUUUUACUCAUAAGCAACCAUAAAUUAUAUAAAUCGAGUUUUUUAUCUCAAAAAUACAAAAAAAAAAAUAAUACUAGUGCAAAAUUAUUUACAUAAAUGAUAAAAAAAAACACUAUUGGGAUUAGGGGUGGCAAAAUGUGUUGGAUCUAUCGGAUCAAACUGUUUUGGCCAGUUAGGUUGAGGUUUUCAACUUGUCAACUCACUUUAACUCGCCUUGUUUUGGUCCGUCAAAAAAUAAGUUGAGAGAAAAACGAGACGAUUCAUUCCACUAACCUAUCUUUUAUUAAAAGAAAUAAAAUUUAUUUUGAUAUUUUAUACAUAUAUUAUUAGUUUUUAAUUAAUUUAUAUUUUGUCUAAUUAAAUUGUUAUUAAAAAGUUUGAGGCAAUACAUUCAAUUUUUUUAGAAGUAUUUAUUAUUUAAUAUUUAUAAAAAAUAAAAUUAAUUAAAAUCAAUUACAAUAUAUUUAUUACUUAUUUUUUUGUUAAUAUUUUAGUCUUGACAAACCAAUUCAACUAAAAACGAGAUAAACUGUCACUUCUGACUCAUAACAAAUGUGGAAAGGAAUGGAUUAACCCAUUUUUAGCGGGUUGGUGGCAUAAUAGGAUGGGAUAACCCAUUUUGUCACCCCUACUUGGGUGAGAAAUUGGUUUCCCAUACCCUGAUUUGCAAAGUGGAGCUUAAAAAAUUUAAAUUUAUGUUCUCCAAAGUUGGAUCAGUGGCCUAUGCAUUGAUUUCUCAACAUAUUUUUUUUCAUUUCAUUUUUAUAACCUUAUUUUUUUUGCAUUUUAAUUUAUUAUUUUUUUAAUUGUACACUUUAAUUUGAAUUUAUUAUUGGUACAUGUGAAAUCUUUAAUAAUUUAAAAGAAAAUGUGAAAAUAAUAUUAUUUUCAUUUGAAAAAUAAAUUUAAAAAGUAAAAUUAACAUACAUCUUACAAAUUCUAUUUUGUGAUGAGAAACAAUUGAAUGACAUCAUCGACAUGGAUGAUAAUAAAUUAAUAAUUUUCAUUUAAGGAAAAAGGACUAAUAAAGCCAAUAAAAUAUCCAAAUCUUAUUUUUGAAGAUAAUUAUUUCCAUUUAUAAAAAAAGAAUAAUUAAUCCAAUUUGAUUUUUUAUAACUUGCCUAUACAACUUUAAGAGCAUAAAGUAUUACCUGAUAAGUUCAUUUAAAAAUUAAAUGCAUCUAAUAUUUGUCAUAAUAUCUACUUUUAUAGUAGUUCACUAGUCUCAUAUUAAUUUUAAUUGAGAUUUUUUUUGAGUUUAUGCGUAAUUCACUAACAAAGGCAAAACCUAAGACAUGACCACAAGCCAAAAUCUAAAUUCCAAACUUUGGGUAACCAAAAUCAAUGUAAACAAAAGUAGUAAUUGUUGGUAGUUUCCAAUAUUUUAGGAAACAAAUAUUUUUUUGUUUUAAUUUAAAGUGAGUAGAAAUGAUUAUAUGAAAUGUGUUAUUGUAUGUGAUUUAUUUUUCAACCUAUAUUCAAACUCAUAUUAAUGUUAACAUUCAGAAUUAGAUCGUGUGUGGAUUUUAUGAUUCUCACAUAUAUCUCCAUGUUUUGAACUCCAUGAUAGAAAGAGUUCUAUACAAGACAUAUUAUUCAUUAUUUUAGAUCACUAAGUUGACUACUCCUUCAGAAACGAAACAUCUUCGUGUUGAGUUAGUGAACAUUUAGAAAAGUCGAAACUGAAUGGGGUUGCGUACGUGCGAGCUUUGCAUUGGUUGGAGAUUAGUUUUCGAUAUGAUAUCGCUUAUGCUUUUAGUUUGAUUUGAAUGUGUUUAUUUGAUUUUUAACAUGUUUGGAUUACAUUUAGUGUUUCAUUUGGUAUCAGAGCCUUCUAUAUGCCUCUGCCUUCCUUAAUUUGAUAUUUUUAGAAUAUGAGCUUUAUGUUUUUGAGUAUUUUAAUUCAAACUAAAGUCAAAAAUUAAAUGGAAAUCAUUUUUCUAACCUUUACGUGUUUUAAAGCGUUAUUUUUGGUGUGAAAAAAUGCUAAUAAACCAUUGGGUUUUUAAUCCGAUUCGUGGGUCUCAACCGAGUUAGAAUGACCUGGAUGUUGAAGAUCGAACGCAUUACAGUGACUAAGGUGUUUUUCCUUUAUGUUCUUGACAUGAGUUUGAUUCUCACUGACUCUUUUUUAGCAUUUUCCUUUUAGUUAAUAAUUUAAAAAAAAAGUUCAGUUUUGGUCCAAAGAUGAUUCAAACCAAUGUAGUUGUAUAUUCUUAAAGAAGAAAUAACCACUAAAUUGUACCAACUCUUUUAUAAUUAUUGUGUUUUUUAAACUUUUAUUUGAAAAAAUAUAAAAUUGUUGGUUUUUGUGAACUAUGCGAUGGUCUUUACUCUAUUAAUUUACAAAAUGUUGUUGCUUAUAAUUCUAUGCAUAUUUUUGCUAGGUUAAAAUGAUGUAUUCUAAAUGAUGAUUCUUCUAUGUUAUGACACCGGAGAUUGAGACACAUCUCCAUUGAGUGAAUUAGGCUAUUAGUAAAUAGUGAGAUACUUAGUACUUUAGAUUUUAUUGAUUUUGAGACUUGUGUGAAUUACAUUAAGGGUAAACCAACUAACAAGUCUUAAACUGAUGCAAAGAGGAAUUUAAACCUAUUGGAGAUCAUUCAUACAUAUAUUUGUUUUCCAAACAUGGACACAAGUAGUUUGAGAUACUUCAUCAUAUAUAUAUAUAUAUAUAUCUUCAUUCUAAAAUAGCUUGGACGCCUUUAAAGUUUUUUAAGACUGAAGUAUACGUUCCUUGAUAAACAUAACGGAAUCAUUUGUGAAACAGAACUGUAAAUACAAAACCUCACAGUCAUUUCUUUGACUGAACCUCAGCUUGUUAUUCCAAAAUUUUGGAGCAGAGAAAAGGUUGUAGUAUAAUCCACAGAGUUUGGCAUGACGAUCAGAUCAUCAGUAAUGAGAAAAGACGCAACAGCGUCGACAAAUCCAUUACCGAAAUGUUUCAAAAAAAACUGUACGGGUCAAAGGAUUCCCACAUCUACAAUUUGCUUUAGUUGUGCAUAGUGAUGACUGUAGUGGAUGUUAUCAAACUUGGUACAUACGAAGUACUUUUUGGGAUCAGUGUCAUCAAUGUUAAGCUUAAGAUUGUUACAAUAAUCUUCUGAUGAAUUCCUUGGUUGCAAUAACAUUUCUUUGCAUGUCUGUUCCCCAAGACACUCGUCGAGUUGCAAUGGUUCCUAAAGGCAGUGUUAAGAAGUUAAAUAACACGUCCACGAAGUCCUUCCCCUGCUUGAGCAAACAAGACUUUGUGAGUCUCUUUGUUCACCACAAGUUUCAAUGACACAUGCACAUCUGUUUUGAGUACCAGCCAUGGUAGCAACUUGUAAAGAAACUUCAAACAAAUUUGUACUACGACAAGUUGAGUGGCGUUAAUUGGCUCUGUUUUCACAGCAUACGACCUUUACAUUUACGAGUAACAUGACCUAGAAAUUGAUUAGCAAUUUAGCAUCACUUACCUCGUUCAAUAAAAGAAAUGGUCUUUUCAAUAAAGAUGAACAGAUGUUUGGCCCAGUUACUUAUUUAAGAAAAAGAAAAAUUAAAUAAAAUGAGUGAACAAGCAUUAUCAUAGACUAAAGUUUCAAAGGAUAAAUUAUAAUAUCAUCUUAAAAUUUAAGUUUGAUUUAACUCAAUUUGAUAAUUAGAAAUUAAAAAAAAUGAUAAAAAUUAUCUUUCAUAUAUAUAUAUAUAUAUAUAUAUAUAUAUAUAUAUUAUUUUAACUCAAAUAUAUUUUUCAUAUUUAUAAUAUAUUUAUUUUUCCGUUACUAAGAUAACUUGUUACAUCAUUAUUUAACGUAAUAUUUUAUUAACUUGAUAUGGCAUCAUUUAAAAUAAUAAAAUUAAUGACAUAUACCAAAAGUUUAAAAAUAUUUGGUAGUAAAAAAAAUAUUUUUUAGAUAAUAAACUGAAAAAGAAAUAUUAUAAAUAGGAAAAACAAUUUAAGCCUAUAUUUUUCAUUUUAUUAUUGAAAUUUUCAAUAAAUCUCAUAUGGCGAACAAUUGUUUCUUUUUGUAAAAAAGAAAAGAUAAAACAUUUUUUUUGUAAAAAAAGAUAACAGUAAUUUUUGCUAUAGUUUUAUGCUCUUGCUGCUUUAAUCUAAAUUUUUGUUAUCAACACUGCUCUAACUUACAGUUUAAAAGAAAAAACACUGCUCUAACUUCAAUUCAACCGUUCCAGAAUUGCAUUCUAAUUCGUAUUCUUCUAAGUUAGAAGAAAAAUAUUAAGCACCUUCGGUAUAACAUUUAUUUUUUGUAAUAUAUUGUUAUUGUUAUGUUGUUAGUAAAUAGCAAUAAGGAUAACUGAACUUUCGAAGAAUACGAGUACCCGUUAGGAACAAGAGGAAAAAAAAGAGAGUAAAGGCACCGAAAAAAGGUCCGUAUAAGAUUAAGAUACUCUGUAAGAUAGAUAUAGUCAAUUCGGUGACGUAUCAAAACUCUUUUGGUAUUGAUCUUGGUAAAAAAGUUUAACUCGUUUUGUUCUUUUUCCAUGUUCAAUUCUUUUCUCUGAUUUUUCAUGAAAUUCAAUAGUUUUGCAUAUUUAUGUUUCUCCCCCACAAAUAUGUGUCCCAUGAUAUUAUCCUUUAUUGUCUAUAAAAUAAAAACACUUAUUUAAGAAAUGGCGUAAGUUUCUUGUGUUUUUAUUCUCUAAUAAAAUAAAAACAGAUAAAUAUUUUUUAAAAUCAUAUAACAUAUACCAAACAAAAAAUUAUUUAUUAUUGAAAAACAUUUCGUGCCAAAACAUAACAAUAAAAAAAUUGACUUAAAUUUGUAUUUAAAAAAAUCAUCUUAAAUAUGCCGAAACUCAUUUUUCCUUCCUUUUUUCUUUAUCACCAAUCAUUAUUUUAAAAUUUAAAAGAUUAAAAUCUCGAGCGUAAACGAUAAGGAAGAGGGGGGUUGGUGAAAGAAGUUUUCCUAGCUAAUAAAAUGACAAAAUAUGCUAGCUAAAACUAGAAUGCCACACCUAAAAACAAAACUAGAAUGUAACACCACUUUAAGAAAAAGAAAAUGAAAGUAACACGUGUAGAGCAUUGGACACUCAAGGUAUAAGAGAAACAAGUGUCGUGCAUGCUACAUUCCACGUUACAACGUUGCUAUUGGUUCGCGUGUCUUAGGGCAGUGCAUGGUUCUUUUAUGUCUUGUGCACCAAUUUGGGAUCAUUCACUCAUCAACACAUAUCGAUAUCUUUUGCUUCGUCUCUUUCAUCGCCUACGCUUCAUUUGAAUCAACACUCCUUCCUCUUCCUCUUUCUCGUCCAUUUUAGUUGUAAGACUAAGAUCUCAUCUUAUUAGAUUCAAUUUGUCUCUUCAUUUUAUCUUUUCUUUGCUCCCAUUAACUUAAUUUUCUCUGUAUUGCCAACAGCAAUCUUUGAAUUCUCCUCCUUAUCAAGUCUUCCUCAUCUUCCCCACCUUUUUGAAAGUGGGUAUAUAUGUCCAGUUAAUUAGCUCUAAAUUGUAUCGACUUUAUUUAGCAACCACCUUAAUUUUCAUAUAGCUUGAUAGAAAUUCAAUUUGUGGUAAAUUUAUAAUAGUCCCUCAAAUGCAUGCAUUUUAUCAGUAGGACAAAAAUAUAGUUCUAUAAGUGUUGUUUAUUUUGUUCUUGAAUCAAAAUUAAAGUUUCACCUAGAUAAUCUGCCUGUCUACUGUUAGAGUUUUGUCUCGAUGAUAAGUUUAAUAAAAAAAAUUGUAUUAAAGAAUGGUGGAGCUUAUAAAGUAUCGAUGAAAUUCUAAGUCUAAUCAGAGAAGAGCACAAACAACAUUUUAGGAACUAUAUAGUGAGUAUAGGUUGAACGAGAAUACAUUCUCAUGCAAGAAAAGUAAACAAUUCAGAGUUUUUGACUCAUCUGCUCUUUGGAACUCUAAUCAAACACACACAUACAAGUUUUGUCAUGUCUUUUGCUAUUAUUGAUGUUAGUUGUGUGUUGUGACUCAGAUGUUUAUGCAACAUGCUUGUUUAAUUUUGUUGGCAGUUUUGGUGUCUAAGAACAUAACCUAAAAGCUCAAGGUGAGUGAAAAGAAGAUGUCAGGUGUGUCUCUAGCAGUGUCUCAUCCACCGGCAUCAGUGGGAGAACAAAACGUGCCUCAAGCAGGCACAAAGCCUAAACCGCGAACAGAACAGGCACCAAUUGGUGGCAUGAUGGGUUCACUUCGCGUGAUAGAGCUUCAGCUUGUCGCUUUCAUCUUGGUGUUCUCAGCAAGUGGCCUUGUCCCACUCCUUGACCUAGUGUUCCCUGCACUUGCCUCUGCAUACAUCUUGGCACUCUCGCUAUUCGCAUUUCCAUCGUCAUCUUCUUCUUCAACGCGUUCGUUACACGACUCGGGGACUGAGAUCUUCAAAGGGGGCAGAUUGUUCCGAAUGUAUGUCGUUGUUGGGAUCACUGUGGGACUCUUCUUGCCGCUGGCUUACGUGCUUGGAGGGUUUGCAAGAGGGGAUGAGCAUGCUGUUCGUUCUGCCACCCCGCACUUGUUCUUGCUGUCGUUUCAGAUACUUACUGAGAACAUCAUCGGUGGGUUGUCUAUGUUUUCCCCACCGGUGAGGGCGUUGGUGCCGAUGAUCUAUACAGUGCGGAGGAUCUUUGUGGAUAUUGAUUGGAUUCAUGAUGUCUGGCUCAACAAGACUCUGCCUGUCAAUGCCACAUUUCAGGUAAUUUUCUAGCAACAAAUGAUAACAAACUUAGCCCUUAUAACUCAGGCUGAUUUAAAAGGAAAAAUAGUGGUAUAACAUGUGAUUAAUUGACAUCUAGAGAGAGAGGAGAGAUUAUCAUAGGUAUAACAUGUGGAGGUGUCCAUAUAUCACCACCACUCUCAUUAAAAUUGUAAUGAGAUGAAGUAUGAGUUUGAUCAUAAAUGGUUUUUUUUUAGAAAUACUUUUUAGGUGGUCAUUAUGAAAUCAGUAAACUUACCCUACAUACUCAUAUAUGAUUGAAUUUUUAACUUAGUGGAUUUUAAUUAAAAGAGGAUCCUCUUAAAUUAAAUUCAUGAAAUAUAUGCACAACAUUUCAUCCUUGUAUCAUUCACUUUCUAUUUGGGUUCCACUAAACAUAAACAAUGUAGAUACAAUAAUAUUUUAGGUUUGGAGGGCAUAGGAUCAUUAGGGGUGGGAGAGACAACCUAGUUGGGAUUGUUGCCCCUAUUGUGAUGCUUCUCCUUUCCUUUUUUUUGCUUAAAAAAAAAAAAACUAAACAAUGUAGGACGUCCACUUGUGAAAGGGAUUUUAGUGAUGAAGUCAAUGGUUAAUGAAAUCAAUCGUCGGAUGAAAUUCAUUUCGAUCAUUUGGAUUCAACUAAAUAAUGCAGUUCCACCUAGUAUUUGAUGAGUUUUAUUUAUUAAUUAUUUAGUCAGACUCACUUCAAUUUUAUCUGAUCCAAGAGUGAAGAGUUGUGUAUAUCAGAAUUGAGACACAUAGAUAUUUACUUCAAAUUCAACCUAUGACUAAUGAAUGAAUUGGUAAUGUUGCAAUGCAUGCAGGACCUGGCAUGGUAUUGGUUCGGGAAGGGUCUGGCAGUGGCAAAUCUGGCUUAUUUCUCCAUCAAUCUGUUUGGGUUCUUGAUACCCAGGUUCCUUCCAAGAGCUUUUGAGAGGUAUUUCCAAGACAAGGGAGAGAUCUAUGCUAAGUCUGCAGAGGAUAAAAGACCUGUGGUUGUCAACAAAACUCAAUUAUCAGAAAAGAAAGAUUAAUUACAGAGCUAUAACCAAUGUGACUUCACUUACAAUUUGAAACACUUUCAGCAUUCUUUUUUUCUUUUCUUAGAAAAUGGUAAUGAAUGUGUAUGAUGAUGGCUCUCCGUUACAUUAUGAAACUACAUAUGGUUUUUGGAUUAGUUUUAUGUGUCAUACAGGUUAAUUUAAAAUUUGGAGAUUUCUUCGACUCUUCUCCCCUUUGUUCAAUAUUAACAAUAACCAUCUUUUAUAGGAUAAAAAAAAUUCAGUGCCAGCUGCAUCCAUUUUAGAAUAUUUUCAUGUGCAACUCUUUAUUUCUCAUGUCAUUGAUUAUGUCGCUCAAGAAGAAGAUGAAGAAAGCAGAGUAGAUUGAUAAUUACACAAAGUCAGAAGCUAGUUCAUUGUAAGAACAACAAAAGGAUAGGGCUUUUUUUUUUAUAUAGAGAGCACUAAAUACAUAAUUUGACCAACCAAUAUAUCUCUAGAGAUGAACAUCCAACAAAGAUAACUCAAUAAAUAAUCUUAAAAUCACUACCAUGGAGAAAGGAGAGGGAGGGAGAAAAAAAGAAAAACUAAAACAAACCAUCUGCUGAAGAGUAAUUAACAAAGCGUCUAAUUUUAGAUUUAGCAUUCAUGGUAGUUUCAGAUAUCCUAGCAGACUCGUCCUCUUCUCUAGCCAGUUUCUCCUUGCUAGCAAUCUCUUUACAACGUAUUUUAUCACAUAUUAAUCGAAACUUUGCUUCCACUGCUUUCUUUUCUGCUUCACAUUCUUUCUAUUUUCUUUUGGCAGUUUCAAUGACCUUUCUGUUGUUAUCUUUUUCCUCUUUUAGAAUGCCAGAUUGUCCGAGAAUUUGCCUUGCCUCGAGUAUCUCUUCCAGUCUCAGGAAAAGCCACUCAGUGUUCACUUUCAUAUUUUUUAUUUCAUUUGCAACACCAAACAUGUUACGCAGCUCAUCUUCUGUGAUCUUAUCGAGACCUUUGUCUUGCAAUUCUAAGAUGAUGCCACAUAGAGUCCUUAAAAACAUCUCAUAUCACCUCUGAGAAUACUGACCGGAGUAACGUUGUGAAUACCAUGGAAUCCUUAAAAACAUCUCCAUGACAUCUCCAUGCUUGCUGAGAAUUUUUCUUAACAUGGGGAUGAAUUCUGGCUUCACUUGGUAUCCUUCAAUCGUGUCCAUUUGUCAUUUGUCCAACAAAAUUAACCACCCCAUCACCUUCUGUUGGGAACCAAGAAUUCCCCAUAGUCCUAAAUCCUUCAUUUUCCCACAGAUUAACCAUUUCAGUAAGGUUCAGGCGGAAACGUCAGGAUUUUGGGAAUAAAUAUGUAUGCGCAUAAUUUAAUUAUGUUAUUAAUUUUAGUAAAAAGUUAUUUUUUAUUUUAUUAUUAUAUUUAUUGUUUUAUUAAAUUGUUAAUUUGACAAGUUUUUGAUUAAAAUUUUGUUAUCAUCAUAGAGAUUAUGAUAAUGAGGAAAAAGUCUUUUAUAACUUUAAUAUAAACUAUUCUUUAUCGUAAGAUUAUUGUGAAUAAGACAUCAAUAAUUCUGAUAUAUCAAUAUAUAUGUAAUGAUCUUUAUUGGAUAAAAAUUAAUAAAUCUCAUUUAUUAAAUUGCAUAUAUAGAUGAUGUAUUUGUCAAUGUCAUCGUUGAACUAACUUAAGUAAAAAUUCUUAGUAGUUAAUAUAACAUUGAUAUGUCAAUAAGAAUUUAAAUAUAAUAGUUUAUUUUAACAUGAGAUUAUCAUAGUAGUUAACAAGUUAUUUGUUAUACUUUAAUUUUGGGCAACUAAUUCCUUGGGGUACUAGUUGAAUGAAUAUUGAAUAUAAUUAAAACGUGUAGAAUUAAUGAUUAAUUAAGAAGAAAUCAAUCAACUCUAGGUAAUGUGUUUGAGCUCUAUGAGAGAAUUAAGACCUUAGUUAGGACAAUUGAAUGAAAGAAGAAAAAAGUUUCAAGUCAUUCAUUGAUUAAAUGUGUUACUUAUUGGAGUUUGACAAUAAUAUUAUACUCUAGAGUUAACCUUGAGCUAUAAAUGAUGAAAGAAAAUAUUCUAUUAGUUCUUGAAGGUAAAAGAUGUUACUAUCAAGACAAGGAGUGUUACUAGACACCUAUGUUGAAGUUAAAAGAUGUUACUAUCCAGACUUUAAAGAGUGAUCAAUUUACUACCGGUUUAGUAUUGAACUUACGGGUCACACACAAACGAGUGUUUCAAUCUUUGCAAAAGAAAAUAAUGUAUUUGAUAAUUAAAUUAGAAAAUUUAAUUUAAUCAAAUAAAUAUUUUAGUGAAAUAUUAUUAUAUUUUUUUACUAGCAAUAAGGAUCUAAUUAAGAUAAAAAAAAGAGUAUUAUUUUAUAAAUGAGAAAGUUGUUCAUAAAAUAAGAAUAAUAUUUUAUUGUUAUACAUCAAGAUCAGAUCAUAUGAUUAAUUAUCGUAAUUAAUAAUGUGAUUAAUUGUGAAUUAUUUUUGUCUUAUGAGGGAAAGCUUCUUAAAAUAAAAGAUAUGAGAUAAUUUUUAUUUUUAUAAAGAUAAAGAGAUAUGAAAUUAUUUUAAAUAAAAUCUUUUUUUUUAUUGUUUGUAGAAAUGCUCAAAUUCAUAUCUAUCUAACAUUAUAAAGAAAAGUACCUAUUUGAGGUAAAAUGUAUCACACAUAGACAAGAAAAGUACAUCCAUGUACACAAUCUUAUUUGCUCUAUUUAUUAUUAUUGUAUAUUUUUUAAUGCAACUUUUGUGUAACUAUCAAAGGAUGCAUAUCCUACGAAACACAAACACCUCUCUUAUUUGAAAUGUAAUUGUGUGAGAUACAUUUUCGAUACUAACACACUCUCACACUUGUUGGACACUUCUCAUUAAGUUUUGGUUUAAAAAUUAAUUUUUAUUUCCUUGAACACUUAAGUCAUCACCUUUACACAACUAAUACACUUUAAAAAAUAUAAAAAAUUAGUUAAAAAAGAUUAAUAUACCAUCAAUUAAUAUUUUAUUAUAUGUUACUCAUAUUUAUUUAAUUAAAAUCUGUUUGUUUUGUUUGUGGGUAUGGGGUGUCUCCAUGUACUAUAUUUUAGACAUUAUCCAUGCUUCAUAAUACAUGACCAACCAUUGAAUUAGCCUUGCUCUUGUUCUUGUCUACUCUUCCCUAGAGUUACGGCUCAAGAGGGAUAUGUUCUGCUUCAAAUCCGUUGUGCCCUUCCAUUUGACUCGACUGAUCACUUCCUCCAUUUCAGCUACAUCAACUGAGCAGUUCUGAGAAACAAAAGCAACAGAAUGUCCAACCUUUUCAGCCUCUUCGUGUCAUUAACUUUAUAGAUGUGGAAACUGAACUAAAUAUUUCUGUAUUUUCUGCGCAACAAUGAUUAUUAACAUUGCCUCAACUCUCACGAUGACUAUAAUGGUUUUCCUUAAACAUCAAAAUGUGCAGCUUUGCUACAGUUACCAUAACUUACGAGUAGUUGCAGUUGGCAAGGAAUAGGGGCAGGUCUAAGGAAAAAAUUUCUUGAACCAGUAAAAUAAGGGAAUGAUAAGCAAUCUUGAACCUACUGAGAAGAUUUUGCAUUGUUAUAAACAACCAUAAUAGUUGAAUUGAAAGCUAGUACACUAGUAAAUGAAUAAAUUUUCAGUUUUAUACUUUCUACGUUAUGUGAGUUUCGGGGACUUCUUUUUUCCUUUUCAACUUUCCAAAGAGUGCCAAAAGAGUGGUUGACACAUAUCAGCGUUUGAUUGAUGAGAGCAAGUGAGGAAAAAGAAAUGUGCAUUAACUUCAGUAUAAUGUCAAAAAUAACAUAUAAAUAAAAAAAACUCUAAUGGCCAACAAAUAUAAUAGAAUAAGAGUAGGAGCUUGUGCCACAGUCUAGUAAAUCAGGAAAAGUUGUAGGGACAUUAAGAAUCAUACAAGUCAUGCAGCUACUAAUCAAACUAGUAAUUGAUCCUCAACUCUAUAUAACCGAGAAGAUCAAGGAAAUGACAUUAAAAAUAUUUUCCAUGUGUGGUGGAGCAAAAAUCAACCUCCACCCCUACAAAGGAUCUUAAAGUAUUUCAGAAUAUUUACUUAGAAACACAUCAAAAAAUAUCAGAGAGAGAUUUAAGUUUUAAUAAUGGGUUCUCCAUAAUCUUGUACCUAAUUAUGUGAGAUACAUGGGUAAAAAUGGAAGUAGAGAUUAUGAUUCUGCUUCCAAGUUCAUGUUUUUACCAUACAAAAAUGCUUCUAUGCAUAACCACAACAUUUGGAAACAAGGUGGAUAGCAUGCCUUACCCGAUUGUUUGGUGAACAAGUGUGAGAAAAAUCCAUCACCUGAACUUGCUUCCCCUUCUUUUUUGUUGUUCUUUGUUUGUGCAUAUUGAAUGUCAAUGUUCUUGUUCUUGCCAAACUUCUAAGUAAUGCAGAGUUGCGGAAUUCAACUGGUCUUGUUUAAACUGCGGAACUCAAAGCAAAAUCAAGUGAAACACUAAAUUUUAUUUUCGAACUGUGAGAGUGUGAGUGGGAACAUAAUAAUUCACAUUUUUUUAACCAAAAAUGUUAGUCACACUUUUCUGAAGGUAUACCCAAAAAUGAAAAAAAAAAAAUCAACUGAAAAAUGGGGUUUGGUGACACUUUUGUACGUACAGACAGUGGAAAAAAGUAAGAAAAAUAAUGCAUUAUGCAUGAACACUUUUUUGUGUUAUUAGAUAAAAAAAAUUAUCAACAAAUCUUAAUUGUUAGUUGUAUUAAUUUUCUGUAUGAUUUUUUUUUUCAACCACCAAAUCAAUCUUAUAAUUUAUUGUGUUAUUGGAUAGUAGUAUUUAGAGAAAAAUAGGUAUAAAAGAAGAAAAAAAAUUAUAAUGGUUUGAUGUCUACUAAUAGUUACUCUAAAAUGAUGAACUCGUUAUUUAUUCUCUCAAUUUGUAUUGUACUGUUUUCUUCCAUUUUGUUUGGUAAAUUGUUUUUCUUUUCAUGCCUUGGGAAUAAGUCCGUGUUUUAUCCUGGAGUACACGGCCACACAAUGGGUUAAAUUUGAGAUGGUUGAAUUUGAGUUGCCUUGCAACUCAACCAAUGCACUCCUAUGGUAUUUAAUUGAGACAAUAUGCAGUAUAACUUAAUUUGUGCAGCUUGAGGAAUUAACGGUGUUUGAGAAGGAUUUGACUAGGCUAUAAUUCACCUUGGAUUCGGAUCUAUCAAUAUCAUGGAUAAAACCCACAUUUAUUCUCUUGUCAUUUGAAUAAAUUUGGAUUAAUCAUCAAAUUUCGUUAACCCAUUUAUACUUUGGGUUAGUUAGACCACCCCAUAUUUAAUAGAAGAUCAAAAUCACGUAAUUGUGAUCUCUAAAAGAUUAAAAAUACAAUUUGCGUUCUAUAUUUUUUUUGUUUUACAUCAGAGCAGGUUUCAAAGAUAAUACCUGAAUGCGUGAAUUUAUCAAUUAUUACUAUCAUUUUCAUCAAAAUGUUAUAUUUCUACGUAUCAUUUUUUUUUAUUGAAAUUUAAGCUUUAUAUUCAUUUUAAUGUGAACUUUUUUGAGUUCAAAAUAAAUAGAAUAAUUUUCCUUACAACUUUUUAAAAUAGUAACAAGAUGUAUUAAAUACUCUACAGCAAUAUAUUUCAAAUUACUUAAUGUUACUAAUCAAUUAAUUACAUAUAAUAUAUUGAACUUUAUAUUCUAACAAUUUUUUAUACAGUAUCAUCUAAUAAUUUAAGUUAAAAAUUUAUGGAAAGAAAUAAACUUAUUUCAAGAAUAACUCUUAUAAUUACUCUUCAUUCUAAACAUUUAUUUUCUUAAAAUCUAAUAUUUAUAACAAAUAACCAAUUUUAAUCAUUAAAUUUUAAGAAAAUAAAUUAUUAAGAUAAAAAUAAUUCCUUUAAAAUUAUAAUAUGAGUGAGUUAAUCCCACUCUAUAUUUAUAUAUAUAAUGUGUGCGUGAAGAAAUCGAAAGCACCCAUUUAUCUUUAUCUAACUGUACAUUUGCUGAUGACCCAAUAAAAAUUAUCCAAAUUCAUCCGUUUGCACAGUCCUGUUGGCUUUAUGCACAUACUCACGCAACUUAGGUGAAUUUGUUUGAUAUUAAAAAAAAUCAUAAAUUAUUAAUUUGAUUUUGCAGCCUAUAUAAACUAACGACUAAGUUAUUGCAUUCAUCACAAGCUUUUCCCAAGACAGACCAUUCCAGACGAUACAAAUUUAUCCUUAUCAAAAUAGUAGACAACAAUGGAAUCACAACUUCCAAAUGUUAAAUCUUUCCAGUCAACGAGUCCUACAUUAAAUAAGCCGCUCAAACUGAGUUGGUGCAAAUGCAUUCUUCAAAAUUAAUGAUUUUCUUUCUUCUUACCCCAACGUUGCAGCUGAACUUCAUAUCAACUCAACUACAGAAACAAAAUCUCGUUGUGCACUAGCAGUAACUUUGAACAUUAAACUCCUCCCUCGAACCGGAAAUGUUAUAUAACUGUUAUAGUCCAAUCUUCUGCAACACGAACAUUAGGUCUACGUAUGGUUGUAACAGCUGGUGCACGAGCCCUUAGAACCCAAAGGGGGCCAAGUUCAAUAUCAACCUUUUGAUUUGAUGGCUCAAUGAGUGCAUUUUUUGAGCUAGGAGCAUGUCCCAGCAGGAUAAUCCUCUCAAUGAAAGCAUCUGAUGGAUAACGCCCCUUGCUACUGGAAGCAGGUGCCAGGUCUAUAGAAGUAAGUUUCCCAUUCGAGAAAAUAAAUCGUCUAUGGAUAUAGCCCCCUUGCAGAAAAUUAAAGCUGCUGCCAUCAUCUAUGUAGAGUUCACCCUCAGCUGCUUGGGAACUAUUCAGAGCUACAACCUGUCAAAAAGAAAGGCAUAACAAUUAUCAUGAAGUAGUUGUCUACUUUCCAUUACUGUCAAUAGUUACAAAGGCACAGCCAUGACACAUUUCCCAACACAAUGUCUCAAUCUUACUAGCUCCCAUUUUUUGGUUGGAAUGCAAACAAAUCAGGUUACUCAAAUAGUCAAUACCCAUGUGCUUAUGAUAAACUCCUGAGGUAUAACCCAUGAAAGUGGACAAAUGAGAUUAGAUUUAUUCUUGAAUGGAUUUAUACGCAUGCAUACAUGCAGUUUAUUCUUGCAAUGUAUAAAGUCAUUCAGUUUUUUGGUGGUACUACACACAUCCUCAUAGAAUAAAAUAGACAAAAGGCACAAUUGCACACAUACCCAUUCAACAUUUUAGUUCAAAACCAUAGAUAGGUGGGGAACACAAAUAUUAAAAAAAUGCAAUAUAUUUGCUCAACAAGUGCUUCAGUGUUCAAAGAGGGCCUGCAUAUGGCCUGAUUCCAAGCAGCAUGAGUGGCUAACUUGCAUAAAUUUUAUUAUAAUAUAUUAUAUAUGUUUUUUUUUUUGCUCAGCAAAAUUAAAUGUAUAUAUAUAUAUAUAUAUAUAUAUAUAUAUAUAUAUAUAUAUAAAGAGUACCAAAGGUACCAAACUACAUAAUGAGAUUAGGUGCACAACUGGUUCCCAAUGCUAGCCUAACAUAUAGGGAACCAUCUGAACCUAAUAUAUUAUAUAUGUAUGACUGCAAAGGGCUUGAAUACAAAGACAAUAGUCUAAGACCUAGUAAAAUAACAGAAAAGGCAAGAAAUAUGUUCCAUGAGACACAUCUGGCACUCAAUCAUAUGCACAAGAAUUGCAGCAAAUCAACAUGAACACAUACCAGAGUGUAGGGAUCAUUUGCCAUCUGAGUGGAACUUCGCCGAAACCGGUCUUUCCUUGCAAUAAUGGUUCCAGCUCUCUGGAAAGCAGGAAUGCUCUCCUCUGUAACCUCCAACUUGUGUGUCACCCCUCCCUUGUACACAGCUCCAGUUCUUAGGUCAUACCAGGAUUGUUUUCCAGGCAAAUAGACUGAUGCAUGCUUAGCUCGCUGCGAGCAACAAAGCAUUAUAAAAACUUUAGUUAAGGACCACAAAAAGAAGGAUAUGGUUUUGCAGAAGGAAAACAUAUAGGAUAUGGUUUUGCAGAAGGAAAACAUAUACGUAUAUGGAAACUGAUUAAAACACCUCUGUAUAGAUCCCUUGAACUAAAAUACUGCUCCCAACCAUGAAAGUUUCGUCAUUGCUAAAAGUAGCUUCAUCAGAUGGGAAUUCCAUCCACAAUGGACGGACCACAGGAACACCUGUAGUGUUAGCCUCCCUGAAUAAUGUGUAGAAAUACGGGAGAAGUGCAUAACGAACAUGUAUUGCAUCCUUAAUCAAUUCUGUAUUUCGUUCUCUGAAAUUUCAAAAAGACAAUCAAUUUACGAUGUUGACAAAUCCUAUGGUAGUCAAGACAUGCAAUAGAUACUUUUAGUGUAUAUGCAUCAAAUUCAUUUUUUAUAAAUUCAAUCAGUAUUGCCACUUAGUAACCCCAUGCAUGUGAGGGAGAUGUCACAUGGAGUUAUUGUCAAUUUCAGUGAUCAAGUGUCUGUGUGAUACGAAUUUGCAGUAGUAAUAUAAUAUAUAAUAUAGAUAUAGAAUUUAGCUCCACUUCAUUUACAUCUAAGAUUUACGUAGUAUUUCUGUGGAAAGGUUCAUCCCUUGAUACAGACUAGCCUGAUUUAAUAUACAUCAUCCUCUUGAAAAAUGUUUCACUGUCUUUUUAGAGGCAAUCAGCUCUUAAACAAAGAAAAGAGCGGUAAAAGAAUUACUGUUCAAUUGUUGGUGAGCAGGUAUAAUAUGAAAGGAGUACCCAAAAAACCUGUGAUAUUUUAACUUUGGGACAAAGAAAUUCUAAAGUAAAAGCAGUCCUACCCAAACAACCAUGGUUCUCGUCUUUUUGUGUCGUGAUGGGCGUGGGCCCUAAAGAAAGGAUAGUAAGCUCCUAGCUGAUACCACCGAACCAAUAACUCAGGUUCAGGAUUCCCAAAAAAUCCACCAAUAUCAGCACCUGCAUUAUGUACAAGAUAAGAAUAAGAUCAUAUGAACAAAGGGGGGCAGGGCAGGGGGAGUUUGCCUAACUUGUGCAAAUAAGUAUAUUGAUUGACUAUGAAUAUGCGAAGAAAAGAAUAAUGAAAUAAUAAAUACAUAUUGAGAAGGACAAUACCCACCAGAGAAUGACAUCCCAGUAAGACCAAGGGUCAAAACCAUUGGGAUAGAAACUCUUAGGUGAUCCCAAUCAGCAGUGUUAUCCCCAGUCCAAACUGCUCCAUACCUUUGACUUCCAGCAAAUAAUGCUCUUGAUAAAACAAAUGGCCUGUCAUUCCCCUCACCACGCUUCAGUAGCCCAUUAGCGGUCGCCAUGUGGAAGUAAUAUCCAUAGGCAUUGUGCAACUCCCGAUGUUCCACACCUCCAUAGUGUGUAACAUCUCUAGGCAUUGUCACCUGGAUACAAUGCAUGCAAACAUAUCUUCAGUUUCCCUAUCUUCAGGUGGGCAUUAGAAGUAUAAGAAAAACUUAAGGGGGGUGUUACAAAAGCACACUAAACAUGUGGAUCACAUGAAAUCCAGAAAUCCUGACUCUGCUUCUCAAGUGGCAUAAGAUUUUUUAAUCAAAAGCAUAUAAAAUAGACAUCACGAUACUAUUAAUCAAUGUUGGUUUGACUUCACAAGGACUUAGUCAAAUUUUUUAAUCUUCCUCAUAUUAUGAGAUCAUACAUUGGUAGAAUCUUCCCUUAGUUGAGGAAGUUCUAUUUUUAUUCAUCAUACUCUCAUCCUCCUCCUUCUCCUUAUGCGCACUUUUAUACAACAGGCAAGCUAUCAUUGUGGUGCCACAACCAGUAAACGAUAUGAAUGAUGAUGGUGGUGUGACCGAUAAAUUGGAUGAUCAUGGCAUUGAUAUCUACUAAUCUAGAUAUAUGUAUUUUUAUCAUGUGUUGGGAUUUAUGUGUUAAGAGGUAACAUUUGUUUAAGAGUUAACCCUAAAUUAUGAGGCCAUUGAUGAUUAGAAGUCAAUAUUGUGCUGAAUUAUUACAAAUCUUACAUUCAUUUUAGAGCUCAUAAGAUGUUAAUGUACAUCAUUCAUGAUUAUUCUUAGAAUGUGAAUUUGGGUCUAACUCAACCCUAGAAAAUCAGCUUGUAAGGUGAGGGUUGUCCCCCACUUGUAUACACUACUAUGGCCUUAUCACUAUUCGAAGUGAGAUCUCCAACAAUUAUCAUGAAAAUGGAUGGUGAUAUUGAGUUUCUUCCCUAAAGCACACAACUUGUGUUCUGUUUCUGAAGAGCCUCAAAAACAUUGAAAAGGCACAUUCCAACUUCCAAAUCACAAUAAAAACAAGGAAACUAAAAGAAAUAGAAACCAAUCCAUAAAAAAAUAGGCAUACCUCAGGCCCAUUGAAGACAGAAGGUUCAUUCAUGUCAUUCCAUAUGUAAAGAGAAGGCGUGGAACCCUCAUAACUCUGGUAAGAGAACUUAUCAGCCCACCAGGACCUAAUUUCCGGGUUCAAAGUAUCCGGAUAUGAUGACGAACCCGGCCAGCACCAGCCAUCAAAGUCAUUCCCACUGGCAUCCUUAACAUAAUACCCCUUCUGAGAGGCCUCCUUGUGCAAAUGAAAAUUCUCGUCCCGCUUAAUGUGAGGAUCCACAAUGGUCACCAUGUGCCUCCCUUUAGAAGCCAACUUCCUCUGCAUCUCCUCAGGGUGGGGGAAAAGAGCCCUAUCCCAAGUAAAAUACCUCUUCCCAUCAGUGUGCUCAAUGUCAAGCCACAACACAUCAUAAGGAAUAUCCAACUCAUCAAACUUGGAAUCCACAUGCUCAACAUCCUCCUCAUCGCGAUAAUUCCACCGGCACUGGUGGUACGCAAUCGAAAACAGCUGCGGCAUCGCCGGAGUUCCCGUCACCGCCGUGUACUGUCUCAGCACAUCCUUAGGGUUCGGACCGAUGAAAAAGAAAGCGUCCACAACACCAGCCUCGCUCAUCCAAAACGUGUCGAUUCGGUGCGAAGGGAGCGCUAUGCCGGACUCGGCGUCCCAGCCAGGGGCAAGAACGUCAAUCUGCAUCUCGGCGGCGUUGAGCCAGAAAAACCCGGAACUUCCCCUGGCUUUCCCGUGAGAAACCAUGAAGGGAAUGGAACCGUAGAGGCCGAAAGGGGAAUCGUGGAUGUACUCGAAGACGUCGAGGUUGAAGAGGCGG
rnacentral:lncRNA from 1 species